rnacentral:rRNA from 1 species
UACAUGGGGUGCGAACGUUGCUCGGAAUUAUUGGGCGUAAAGCGCACGUAGGCGGUUCGUUAAGUCGGAUGUGAAAGCCCUCGGCUCAACUGAGGAAGUGCACCCGAAACUGGCGAGCUUGAGUACGAAAGAGGAUCGCGGAAUUCCCGGUGUAGAGGUGAAAUUCGUAGAUAUCGGGAGGAACACCGGUGGCGAAGGCGGCGAUCUGGGUCGAUACUGACGCUGAGGUGCGAAAGCGUGGGGAGCAAACAGG